rnacentral:rRNA from 1 species
UACGGGGGGAGCAAGCGUUGUUCGGAUUUACUGGGCGUAAAGGGCGCGUAGGCGGCCACCGCAAGUCGGUUGUGAAAUCUCUGGGCUUAACCCAGAAAGGUCAACCGAUACUGUUUUGCUAGAGUACAGAAGGGGCAAUCGGAAUUCUUGGUGUAGCGGUGAAAUGCGUAGAUAUCAAGAGGAACACCUGAGGUGAAGACGGGUUGCUGGGCUGAUACUGACGCUGAGGCGCGAAAGCUAGGGUAGCAAACGGG